UACGUAGGUGGCAAGCGUUGUCCGGAUUUACUGGGCGUAAAGGGCGUGCAGGCGGUUUGUUAAGUGCAGGGUGAAAGCUCCCGGCUCAACUGGGAGAGGUCCUUGCAUACUGGCGAACUCGAGGGAGGCAGAGGAAAGUGGAAUUCCCGGUGUAGUGGUGAUAUGCGUAGAUAUCGGGAGGAACACCUGUGGCGAAGGCGGCUUUCUGGACGGUAACUGACGCUGAGACACGAAAGCGUGGGGAGCAAACAGG
rnacentral:rRNA from 1 species